rnacentral:rRNA from 1 species
UACGUAGGUGGCAAGCGUUGUCCGGAAUUAUUGGGCGUAAAGCGCGCGCAGGCGGUCCCUUAAGUCUGAUGUGAAAGCCCACGGCUCAACCGUGGAGGGUCAUUGGAAACUGGGGGACUUGAGUACAGAAGAGGAAAGCGGAAUUCCACGUGUAGCGGUGAAAUGACGUAGAGAUGUGGAGGAACACCAGUGGCGAAGGCGGCUUUCUGGUCUGUAACUGACGCUGAGGCGCGAAAGCGUGGGGAGCAAACAGG